GUGUCAGCAGCCGCGGUAAUACAGAGGGUGCAAGCGUUAAUCGGAUUUACUGGGCGUAAAGCGUGCGUAGGAGGCCGCGUAAGUCGAUUGUGAAAUCCCUGGGCUCAACCUGGGAAUUGCUUUCGAUACUGCGUGGCUAGAGUUCGGUAGAGGGUGGCGGAACUCCCGGUGUAGCGGUGAAAUGCGUAGAUAUCGGGAAGAACACCGAUGGCGAAGGCAACCACCUGGGCCUGAACUGACUCUGAGGCACGAAAGCGUGGGGAGCAAACAGGAUUAGAUACCCUCGUAGUCC
rnacentral:rRNA from 1 species